rnacentral:rRNA from 1 species
GGAAGUUUGAUCCUGGCUCAGGAUGAACGCUAGCGGCAGGCCUAAUACAUGCAAGUCGGACGGGAUUGGGGGCUUGCCCCCAUGAGAGUGGCGCACGGGUGCGUAACACGUAUGUAACCUACCCUUAUCUGGGGGAUAGCCUCUCGAAAGAGAGAUUAACACCGCAUAAAAUCACAGUACGGCAUUGUACAAUGAUCAAAUAUUUAUAGGAUAGGGAUGGGCAUGCGGGACAUUAGCUAGUUGGCGGGGUAACGGCCCACCAAGGCUACGAUGUUUAGGGGAUCUGAGAGGAUGGCCCCCCACACUGGUACUGAGACACGGACCAGACUCCUACGGGAGGCAGCAGUAAGGAAUAUUGGUCAAUGGAGGCAACUCUGAACCAGCCAUGCCGCGUGCAGGAAGACAGCCCUAUGGGUCGUAAACUGCUUUUAUACCGGAAUAAACCCCUUUACGUGUAAAGGGUUGAAUGUACGGUAGGAAUAAGGAUCGGCUAACUCCGUGCCAGCAGCCGCGGUAAUACGGAGGAUCCAAGCGUUAUCCGGAUUUAUUGGGUUUAAAGGGUGCGUAGGCGGCCUGUUAAGUCAGGGGUGAAAUUUUCCGGCUCAACCGGGACAUUGCCUUUGAUACUGACGGGCUUGAAUGCAGCUGAGGUAGGCGGAAUGUGACAAGUAGGCGGGAAAUGCAUAGAUAUGUCACAGAACACCAAUUGCGAAGGCAG